UUGUCGUCAGCUCGUGUCGUGAGAUGUUGGGUUAAGUCCCGCAACGAGCGCAACCCUCGUUCUAUGUUGCCAGCACGUGAUGGUGGGGACUCAUAGGAGACUGCCGGGGUCAACUCGGAGGAAGGUGGGGAUGACGUCAAAUCAUCAUGCCCCUUAUGUCUUGGGCUUCACGCAUGCUACAAUGGCCGGUACAAAGGGCUGCGAUACCGCGAGGUGGAGCGAAUCCCAAAAAACCGGUCUCAGUUCGGAUUGGGGUCUGCAACUCGACCCCAUGAAGUCGGAGUCGCUAGUAAUCGCAGAUCAGCAACGCUGCGGUGAAUACGUUCCCGGGCCUUGUACACACCGCCCGUCAAGUCACGAAAGUCGGUAACACCCGAAGCCGGUGGCCCAACUCUUUGAGAGGGAGCCGUCGAAGGUGGGACUGGCGAUUGGGACUAAGUCGUAACAAGGUAGCCGUACCGGAAGGUGCGGCUGGAUCACCUCCUUUCUAAGGAG
rnacentral:rRNA from 1 species